UGGGGAUUGAACCCAAGGCCUUUACACUGAGCUAAGUCCCCAGCCAUUUAUUUAUUUAUUUAAAUUGUAAGUAGUGGUGGAAGCCAAGAGAUGGAUGGGGAGGAAAGGAUAGGGGAAGAAAAAAAGGAAUUAAGAUGUGUUACGUACCUUUACCAGCAUUGUCUACUACACACAUGUACUAACAAAAAAAAUUAAAAUAAUUGAAACGGUUUUUGAUCCAGGGUCUCACUAAGUCACUAAGUUGUCCAAGCUGGGUUGGAAUUUGGCAUCUUCCUGCCCCCGUAUGCCAGCAUGUCGGGGAUUACAGGUGUGUUCUAUUUUUAAUGCUAGACUUUGAUAUUUACUUGUUGACUGACACCAGUUAGCUCAGAUAAUGUACUUGAUAUUUCUUACACAAAACCCCAUGAAGAUUCCAGCAAGUCUGCAAAAUCACAGUGAGGAAGCUCCAGAACCGAAGGUCCCCAAAAGCCGGCAGAGCUCAUGGGCCAUAAUCCCAACCUGGCCUGCAGCCGACCCACCACACCACGGUCCCACAGAAAUCUGUCUGAGAGCUGAGCACCCUGAGAGGAGCUGUUGUUAACACACGACUCACCCUGGAAGCAAGCAGCGGGGCUGGGCUGGUGCGGGGCUGGUGGCCUGGCUCUCAGCGAAGGUUCUCAGGGAAGCCAGCCAGGGAGGUGAAUGGCUCAGAAGGAGCAGGGAGCUCGGCGCCGGGACGCACAUCACCCUCAUCCUGAGAUUUCCCAGAGGGGACCGAGCCCUUGGCGUCUUCCAUGCUCCCGUGUCCCAGGCACCAUGGAUAAGGCUGAUCUUCCUCCGGCCAGGCCUGUGCUUUGUCAGCCAGCACACAGUCCUGCUCCCUGCAGAGAUGGCAGGACUGUGGAGAGGAAGCCAGGCCGCGGGAAGCCACGGCAGGGCCUGGCAGCGGGAGGGGGAAGGGGAAGCCAGUGUGCAGUCCACGCCCCUCUGCUGCCACCCAGCUUCCUCCAGGCCCGGCCAAGACAGCACUGUGUCUGCGAGGGACGUGGCCGAGCGAGCUUCACAGGGGCAGCUGCUGACAGAGCCUGCACUUGGCCCCUCCAGGCUGCAUUUCCACACUUCACAGGACCAAGUCUGAUUGAUGGAAUUUGUUUGAACAUUGCUUUCUGGAGGCCUUGUGCCGCCGCCUCCUCCACACAGAACAUAUGUGCACGCACUCCCCGGGGCAGCGCUCGAAUGCACGCAUCGUGUGGCUGCGUUUGUUUAGGGUGUGCCCUGUGGUCUGAGGGGACCUUUCCCAUGACCCGCAGCUUCCUCGGUGGGCCGCGCACUGAUGUCUGGGCUGGGGGCGUCUCUCCUGGGGGCGGCUGCCCUCUCCCCAGCCGUGCCCGGCUGAUGGAUCAUCUGGGCCGCACGCAGCAUUCUUCUCCCCUUAGCUGUGAGGAGGAGGGAGAGGAAGAGGGAUAAAAGGCCCUAAACAGCUCCCAUCUGUUGUCGCGCUGUGCUGUGGACCGGGAGCCUCACAUUUGCCCAGCCCUUUCCUCUGUGGGUUCCAGGAGUUUUAUCUCAUUAACCCCAGGGUCCCCAGAGCAUAGACCAAGCUCAGUAAGCCAUGUGGGGGUCUCACCAUCCCGCCCGCGUGCCCAGGUCACACUGUGGCCCCCACCGGCUGCGCACGGCAGGCCAGUGCUCACCCGGCUCUUCCCACGCGGUGCUUCUCCUCUGGCCCCGAGACCCAUCCUCACAGACCAUGGCUUUCUGGCACUUCUGUAGCCUGAAAGCUCCCUUGGACUCCUGGGUGUCCCUCCCUGCACUUUAGGCCCACAAAGUAUCACCUCACGCAUCCCCAGACUCCAGUCCUGAGCAGCCCUGGCCCAUUGGAGCGUCCACUUCCUCUGCAGGGUGGAUAGAUUGGUGAGACGUGUGUGAGAGCCUGCUCCAAGCCUGGAGUGUGUCAGCAGGUUCUCAGCAUUAUCACCAUCUGUGGGGCCGAGCUGGGCAGCAUCACUAAGUCAGCUUCAAGCUGCUCAUCCUAGGCAGCGGGUAACCACAGGACGGUCCAAACGGUGCAGCGUCCAGGUCAAGAGUAGGGAAGCCAGUGUGCUCAUUCCGCUGUCCAUUGGCUUCUCCUCCGCGGUGACCUUAGAUUUGAGAAGCCGUGGGGUGGAGGAGCUGGGCCCCUGAGUCACAACCUGGAGAGGCUUCCACUGGCCCAGCCCUGGAGACGGGGAACCCUGCAGCUCCUGCCCCUGUGCUCUGCAGCAGCCUCCCUUGUGAGGCUGUCCAGGCGUUCCCAGUGCACCUGGCCCUCCUGCAGUGGGAGGCUUCAGGGAUGCAGGAAGCCAUGGCCUGCCCGGUGCUCACUUCCCCACGAGCCCUGCACUCAGAGCUCUGCCCACACAGAGGCCGACUGGAAUCAGGCCCAGGUCCCGAACUGCUUCUCUAGCACGUUCGGGGUUCACAGACCUUUUGACAGUGAGAUCCCACCUGAGAGCCAGUGUCUUGAACAGCAGGCCAAUAAGUGAAACUUGUACGGAACAUCUAAAAUCGCCCAUUAAGACUCCAGGUUUUAUGUCAGAAGAAAGGACAUGCUUGACUAAUUACAGUAUACAUGAAGGGCCAACCACCUUGCAGAGGACAGCUCUGAGCAGAGGGUCCACACAGUCGCCAGGUCUCAGACAGGCCUGUGACGUGAGCACAUAGCCACCUCUCUCCCACUCACCUGUGUUGUCUGAGUCUUCCCUGGGCCAGCAGUUGUCACACCUUGCCAAGUGUGUGGACCCUAGCAGUUUCCUGAAGCAGACCAGGAGGGAAGAGGCUGCCAGGGUCCAGCGGUGACCAGGCCUAGGCAUCUUCCGUGUGUUCUCCUGCGCGUCUGGGGGACCAGGCCCUUCCUUUUGCUGCCUCUUGGUGGCCUCCAGCCUCCACAAGGUCUGCGGGGUACCACAGGGCUCUCUGAGUGUCUGCGGAACAGACGUGCGUGUACACGCCCAGCAGCGCACAAGUAGACAAGCCUGACCCUGCGCCGCUCUGACGCCCUGCCAACCAGUGUAGGUCAGAAAGAACCGCACUGCGCCACAUCCCAGGCUGGACAGCACGGCAUUUCCUGCAGUGUCUCCUGGCUUAGGAUUCAAAACCUUCCUGGGGAUGGAGGCCUCCCGAGACAGCGGAUGAGGAGGCCAUGCGCCCUGCCAGCGGUCCCAGCGGGCAGUGCUGUGCUAAGUGUGUGCCGGGCUGGGGUGUGGCUCGGAGGUGAGUGCUGGCUCUGCUACACGGGGCCCUGGGCUCCAACUGCAGUGCUGCAGAAAGAGGACUAGGGGAGGGGCUGUAUAUCUAGUUCUCUACUUCCUGUGUGAGCGAUGCCACGCAGCCUAUGGUCGAGGACACGGAGCUCUGUGCAAGCGGGGAGGUGUGGCACCCGCCCGCCGGGCAGGAAGUCUCAGAACAGUGACUUUGGGGCUGGCCCUCAUGGCAGGAGGGCCACUUCCACUUUGGCCGCACAGGCCCCAUCCCCAGACUGGGGCCCCUGUUCCCGCCACGCCACGUGUGCGACUGGGAAGGGACUGUUGAUGCUUCUGUAAGCUGCUCCGUUUAUCCCUGGGUAAAUAUUAAUCUGGUGCAGUCAAACACGUGAUAUAUUGCCAGCCACUUCAUGUGCGCGUCCUCAGGGACACAGGGGCCCUUAGCUCCAUUUGUCUCGCGUCUGCAUUUUAAAUAUUUAACAAAGACAACACAAUGUUAUGGGAAAAGCAGCUUAAAAUCUAGACAUGUGGGUCUGAGGAAACGAUUUUGCCUCUUUUUGUUUAACUUUUUCCUUUUAUUUUUAGCAACAAACACACACACACACACACACACACACACACACACACACUACGCAGCCCGGAGCGCUUCCACCCCUGCUUUCCUGGGUGAUAUACACUUACGGAGACAUGUCUGCGCUGCGCUCCACAGCUAUGGCUGCUCUGCCAAGAGGGCACAUCCCGUCACUCGGCCGUGUUUGUGCACGCUGUCACCGAGCCCUGAGCCCAGGCACACCACGGCCAGGCCACCGGCAGGGGAGGGAGAGCCCUCCGGAAGGUCACAGGAGGCAGAGGGCACAGUCUCGGCUGGUGUCUCCACGCCUGUGGCGCGCAGAUCUGGGAUGGCUGCCUGCCCCGGCGCAGAGCCCCAGGCGGACACUGACAGUCAGUGGGAGUCUCACUUCCGUGGCCUCGGUCUUCGGAAGGAGACUGUGAGUGUCAGAACGUGUCAAGGUGUGAGUCUGGGAGUGAGGGUGCGGAUGUGUGAGCGCAAGUGCGAGAUCGAGUUUGAGAAGGGCUGAGAGUGUGAACAGGGAGCGAGUGUUUAAUCUGUCCAUGUGAGAAAGAGUGAGUUUGAGAAUGCGUCUGUGAGGAUGAGCUGGAAUGAGUGUGUAUUAGAUGGUGAGCUGAGUCUGCGGGCAAGCAGUGUCUGCAAGCGUCACAGUGACACCACAAAAGUGUCGGGGUGUGUGAGUCUGGGCGUGAGCAGGGUCUGAAGCUGUCAGAGUACAAGAUAAGAGCGUGAGUGUGCAUCGAAGUAAGCGGGUAUCCAAAAGUGUGCGAGAGUGGGCUGGGGGCGUCACAGUGUAAACGCAAAUCUGGAGGCAGGGAUGUGCCUAAAGUGUCUGUAGGCCUGAGAGUAUCAGAGUGUGCAGGUAAAUCUGAAAGCGAAUGCGUAUUUAAAUGUGUCUGAGAGUGACCCUAAGAGCGUCAAAGUGCGAGUGCAAGUCUAGGGUGAGCAGGUGACUGAACGUGUCUGAGGGUGUGUGCCUGGGCAUCUUGAGUGUGGAUGUGCUAGGGAGUGAGGGUCAGAAAGUGUCUUCGAGUGCGAGCCCGUGGUGCCCGAGUGUGAGCGUGAGUCUGGGAUGAGUGCGUGUCCGAAGCGUCUGAGAGUGUUGGGUUUUAAGUGGAGUCUGAGAGUGAGGAAGUUUCCACAAGCUUCUGAGAGUGAGUCCGGGAGUGAGUGGGUGUCUCAGAGUACCUGAGUGCGAGCCUGAGAGCUCGCACGUGAGUAGGUGAAUGGGUGACCAAAAGUGCCUGAGAGUGAGAGCCUAAGUGUGUCAGAGUGUGAGUGCCAGCAAAGUGUCUGAGAGUGUGAACCUGAGGGUGUUGCAGCGGGGGUAGGAGUCUGCAGGUGAGCAGGGGUGUGAGGCAUCUAGCAGUAUAAGUGUGCGUGUGCUGGAGUGGGAGUCUGAGGGUGAGUCAGUACCUUGCAGUGUCUGAGAAUGUGAGCCCAAGGAUUCUGGAGUGUGAAUGUGAUCCUGGGAGACAGUGGGUGUGUCAGAGUGUCACCGAGUGUGAGCCCAGCCAUGUCAGAGUGUGUGAGUCUGGGUGGGGGUUGAUGUCAGAAAGUUUUGCGGAUGUGAGCCCGAGAGUGUCCAGUGUGAGUGUGGGCCUUAGAGUCAGCCAGCGCCUGAAAGCGUGUGAGAGUUGGAGACUGCGAGUGUGCACCUGCAGAUGACGGGGUGUCUGAAAGUGCCUGGGACUGGGAGCCAAAGUCUCCAAGUGUGAGCGUGCAAAUUAGUGAGUAUCUGAACGUGUCUUAUAAUGGACCCCAGGGUCAGUGUAAGGCCGGCAGUGAGCAGGUAUCUGAGAGUGCCUGAGCGUGUGAGUCCCGCUGCUGAGGCAGCAGAAACACUGAAACGUUGCCCGGGACUUGGAGGCCCCGGACUGCGCGAGGCUGAGGACACCCCGCCGGCUGUGCUGUGUCGGGCCGGGGCCCGGACUGAGGGCUCUGGCCGUGUCACCCCACUGCUCCUCCCGAACAGUGCACACCUUCCCACUAAGGCCUGCCCCUGCUCCCCCAGCACCCCGGCCCGAUGCGGGGAUGACGCUCUGGUCAGGCUUGCAGUGUCGCCCUGUGUCUCUCCUCCCUGAGCCCCCAGGGGCACGCACACGGUCACAGCCACUGGCCGGCUGGGCCCUCGCGUCCCUUCCUUCCUCUGAAGUGGCCUCUGGACAGCACUGUGGUUUCCACUGGCAAGGCUGUGCUGGCACAAACACACCCCCACACGUGCACAUUCACACAUGCACAUGCUGCACUGACUAUACACAUGUACUCACACACACAACACUCUCAUGCAUUUGUGAGUGCUCACACACAACCACAUCAUGCACACGAACACUCCCAUGUGCAUGCACACAUGUGCACACACAUGCGUGUCUACACGGUCACACAAACACACACUUGCAUUCAAUGUUGACUGCUCACAGAUACACACAACCACACUCACACACAUUUAUAUAUGUGCACUUGCCCCCACAUGCCAACUCACAGAUUGACCCAACACAUCCAUGCACGAACACACU
rnacentral:lncRNA from 1 species